rnacentral:lncRNA from 1 species
GCCUUUAAUGUGGGGAGUAUCCAAAAACUAGAGCCUCUUGAGAGGGUGAGGGAGAGGGUGGAAUAAUUGAGGGGGGCCACGUGGUUUGUAGCAGAGGAGGGGUUAUUAGGACAUGUGAAAGCCUCGUUUAAAUGCCCCCACCAGACCCUAAAAACACAUAAUAUGUAGGCUUGGGACCACAUAUACAUAUAAGAGACCUAGUCCACGGUGACAACUAACAUGAUGCUCACGUUAGUCCACUCCUCACUAACUUACGAGGACAUACACACAUGGAUCCCAUUUGCUUCCCUUCUUCAAUUACGUAGGGA